CUGGGUGCCCGACCCUGCCAGGCCCGGGUUCCGGCGGGAGCGGCUGCCGGGGCGGAAGGUUCAUGUGUUCGGGGGGGUAAUUCGUCUCCAGCAGGAAGUGCCCUUGGUGUCGACUCGGUUGUAGUGAUGUCGACUCGGUUGUAGUGACCUACAAGGGUGGUAUCCCAGUGUGCUGUGCAUCACUGCAGACACCGUAGGAACUGCUUUGCUGUGUAUUGUUGGUGCUAUCUCCCCCACCAUCAUACAUUUGCUGAUGACAGUUCCUGCUCACCUCUCCCUCCUGCCAAAUUGGGUGGAAGGCAUGGAGCAACUGGAUGAUGGUCUGGUUCUGCUGCUGCUCCUUACUGCGGUACAAAUGUUUAUGUGGUCGCGUUAGUGAUCGGCGAGAUACAAGAUGAAAUCUGGGCUGAACUUUCUGACGUGCUGAAGGCAACCAACUAUGAGGAUGAAUGACAAUUCUUUCAUGUCCCCUGGACAGCUAUGAUGAAUGCCAGUCAUGGCAGAGGCCUGCAUGGCUUUUUUAAUUGUGUUUCAUUGUUCUAUAUAUAAACCAAGCCAUGAAGAUGUUUAUCUACC